GAUGAACGCUGGCGGCGUGCCUAAUACAUGCAAGUCGAGCGAACAGACGAGGAGCUUGCUCCUCUGACGUUAGCGGCGGACGGGUGAGUAACACGUGGAUAACCUACCUAUAAGACUGGGAUAACUUCGGGAAACCGGAGCUAAUACCGGAUAAUAUAUUGAACCGCAUGGUUCAAUAGUGAAAGACGGUUUUGCUGUCACUUAUAGAUGGAUCCGCGCCGCAUUAGCUAGUUGGUAAGGUAACGGCUUACCAAGGCAACGAUGCGUAGCCGAACUGAUAGAGUGAUCGGCCACACUGGAGCGUGGACACGGACAAGGCUCCUACGAGAGGCAGCAGAAGGGAACGUGACGCAGUAGUGGAGAACAUGACGGAGCAGCGCGGCGUGAGUGAUAAAGGCCUUCGGUGCGUGAAACUCUGUUAUUAGGGAAAAACCAAUGUGUAAGUAACUAUGCACGGCUUGACGGUACCUGGUCAGAAAGCCACGGCUAACUACGUG
rnacentral:rRNA from 1 species